AUGAAUUUUGUCAUCUUGUCUCUGGAACAGCAAAAACAUCACGCAUCACUGAGUCCCAUUCCUUCCCGAGUGCAAGCCCGAUCCUGUUGGCUGGCCACGUCCGCCAAAAAAUGGGCAAACGCCACCCGCGACGACCCGCCGUCGUUCCAAGCUGCCAUGGCGUCUUCCUUAUUCGCCGCGACCCGCGCCCUGAGCUCUCUGCCCUCCUCGGAAUCCAUGACAAGCCUUACCUUGGCCUCCACCUCGCCGGCCUUGACCAGCCCGUGCUGCCACCCGACCAUCUCUACGGCGAUCCCCAUGUCCCCCACCAUGAACAGCUUGUUCAUCUUCUGCUCCGCGUACAGCGGCCAGCACAGCAUCGGCACUCCCGCCGUGACGCCCUCCAGCACCGAGUUCCAUCCGCAGUGCGUCACGAACGCCCCGGUGGCCUUGUGGCGGAGAACGUCCGCCUGCGGUGCCCACAGCUUGACGACGAGGCCACGGCCAUUGGUGCGCUCCAUGAACCCGUCCGGUAGGAGCGCGUCGAUGUCCGGGUCGGCACAGGGGUCGAGCGGCUUCUCCGGGUCGUCGCUGACUGGGGCUCGCACAACCCACAGGAAGCGGUGGCCGGACUUGUCUAGCCCGACGGCGAUCUCCCUGAGCUGCUCCUCGGAGUGGUUUCCUAUGCCGAUGCUCCCGAAGCAGAGGAACACGACGCUCCGGUCAGGUUGGCCGUCUAGCCAAGGGAGGCACUCGUGCCGCUCUUUUGCCUCGGCGACGGCGAUGCUGCCGACAAAUGGCCCGACGCAGUACACCGGAGGCAAUACCCGGCCGAGGACACACCGAGGGUCCCUGAGAGCAGCCACCCCCCGAGCCUCCAAUGACUCGAGCGUGUUCACCAGCGUGCCGUCGGCCUCCAGGAUCCGGGGCAGCGAGGCCAUCAUCGCCUUAUACUUGUCGCUCUCCGGGUCCUCAAGCAGUUCGGCCAUUAGGUGUGAAGCCGGCAUGGGUGGAAGGCCGAAGAGCUGGAGAGGGGUGUCUCCUAGCUCCUUGAAGCUCGUCCCGCCCUCUGCGAGAAGUGUCGGAAGCUGGGCGAAGGCGGCGAGGACGGAGGCGCUGGAGGUGAACAAGUUGUAG
rnacentral:rRNA from 1 species